CUCGUUUCGUGGCGUGCAGUGCGAGUCUAUCGUGUCUCAAAGCGAGUAUUACCUGCUUUGGCACAUGUUAGGCCGGCAGUACAGCCCGAGUAUUGGAAGUC
rnacentral:pre_miRNA from 1 species